AUGGCUCAGGACGAACGCUGGCGGCGUGCCUAAUACAUGCAAGUCGAACGGCUUUUCUAUGGAAGCUUGCCUCCACCGAGAAGAUAGUGGCGAACGGGUGAGUAACACGUGGGGUAACCCUGCCCAUAAGAGGGGGAUAACAUCCGGAAACGGGUGCUAAUACCGCAUAGUUUUCUUGAUCGCAUGAUCGGGAAAGGAAAGACGGCCUUUGUGCUGUCGCUUAUGGAUGGACCCGCGGCGUAUUAGUUAGUUGGUGAGGUAACGGCUCACCAAGACGAUGAUACGUAGCCGACCUGAGAGGGUGAUCGGCCACAUUGGGACUGAGACACGGCCCAAACUCCUACGGGAGGCAGCAGUAGGGAAUCUUCCGCAAUGGACGAAAGUCUGACGGAGCAACGCCGCGUGAGUGAAAGAAGGUUUUCGGAUCGUAAAACUCUGUUGUCAGAGAAGAACAAGUUGGAGAGUAACUGCUCCAGCCUUGACGGUAUCUGACCAGAAAGCCACGGCUAACUACGUGCCAGCCGCGGC
rnacentral:rRNA from 1 species